rnacentral:rRNA from 1 species
UGGGGAAUAUUGGACAAUGGGCGAAAGCCUGAUCCAGCCAUGCCGCGUGUGUGAAGAAGGCCUUUUGGUUGUAAAGCACUUUAAGUGGGGAGGAAAAGCUUAUGGUUAAUACCCAUAAGCCCUGACGUUACCCACAGAAUAAGCACCGGCUAACUCUGUGCCAGCAGCCGCGGUAAUACAGAGGGUGCAAGCGUUAAUCGGAAUUACUGGGCGUAAAGCGCGCGUAGGUGGUUAUUUAAGUCAGAUGUGAAAGCCCCGGGCUUAACCUGGGAACUGCAUCUGAUACUGGAUAACUAGAGUAGGUGAGAGGGGAGUAGAAUUCCAGGUGUAGCGGUGAAAUGCGUAGAGAUCUGGAGGAAUACCGAUGGCGAAGGCAGCUCCCUGGCAUCAUACUGACACUGAGGUGCGAAAGCGUGGGUAGCAAACAGGAUUAGAUACCCUGGUAGUCCACGCCGUAAACGAUGUCUACCAGUCGUUGGGUCUUUUAAAGACUUAGUGACGCAGUUAACGUAAUAAGUAGACCGCCUGGGGAGUACGGCCGCAAGGUUA